UACGGAGGGAGCUAGCGUUGUUCGGAAUUACUGGGCGUAAAGCGCGCGUAGGCGGCUUUGUAAGUUAGAGGUGAAAGCCCGGAGCUCAACUCCGGAACUGCCUUUAAAACUGCAUCGCUUGAAUCCAGGAGAGGUGAGUGGAAUUCCGAGUGUAGGGGUGAAAUUCGUAGAUAUUCGGAAGAACACCAGUGGCGAAGGCGGCUCACUGGCCCGGUACUGACGCUGAGGUGCGAAAGCGUGGGGAGCAAACAGG
rnacentral:rRNA from 1 species